rnacentral:hammerhead_ribozyme from 1 species
AUUCAGCUGAUGAGUCUCCAACAGGAAGAAACGCGAGUCCUGGAU